UCACACUUGGCUCUGGGGUCCCAGGGCCCCGAGGCCUGGGCUGGGAGACCUGCAGAGCUCUGUCAAGGUUCCCCUUCCCACCGGGAGGCCAGAUCCCAUCCCUAAGAUUCAAGGAGUUUGAGGGAUUCGUCUCGCUCCUCGGAGGACCGGGUCCCCAAGGUCCAGCCUUUGCGGCUGGGAGAAAGGUGCUGCAGGCCCCCCUCCUUUCCAUCUGCCCCCUCUGAGCCCCGGGGAGAGAUCGGUGCUGAAUGGGCUGGGUGGGGGCUGCCAGGAGGGACGUACUGGGGGCAAGUGGCGCAGCCCAUUUGGGGACUGGUGGCUGAGAUUGGGGCCAUGGUGUGGUGACCCUAAGGGGGCUGGGGGCCCUUUGCCAGGGGCCGGGAGGCAGCGAGUGGCUCAGGCCCAAGUCAUUCUGCCCCUCUUUUAGCGCUUGAGGGGGGCUUCACCCCCAUGCAGGAGAGAGGGUGCAGGGUGCGGGGCCCGCGGGUGAGACCCCAGCCACGCAGAGGUCCCCGGGCAGAGGAGGCAGCGGGCGGUGAGGCUCUGUCCUGGCCAGGCAGGCUUGGGGCAGGGACCAGCGCCUGCAGCUCCGGCGUCCUGGCCUCGUGCUCGGCUCCUGUGCUGCUCUGGCAUCUUCCGAGGCGUGUGGAGGAGCAGCCGGAGGCCUCCAGCCUCCUCUCCAGGGCUGACCUCACGCUCAGGGUCCCUCACCCUCGCACCAGACGUUGCUGUCGGGAGCCCACGCAGGUUUCUGCUCGUGUUCCCGGUCGGGGACCAGCUCUGCUGCAGGGCCUUAGCUGGGCACGAGGGCGUUGCUGUUCCUGCGGGAGCUCCUCGGUCCCUGCUGUGGCAGCCAGCGCAGUGUCCCUGCGCCAGGAGGGUCCCCUGCCACCCGUGGGGGUUCCCGGGGAGCUGGCGACCUUGGGGGGGUCACCCUGUCCCGCUGCGGCUCCAUCCCCUCCUGGAGCCUCUGCCACGACUCCAAACCCACGGGAGAAGAGCCGCUGCCCGUGCUGUGAUGCUGCAAGUGGCGUAGAAGAGUUCCCUGCUCAGCGGGGAGGAGCUGCGAGGAGAACCAAUGCAUUAGCCCAGUCUACAAAUGUGGAAAUAAACAAGAUCAGCUCAACGUAGGGCUGGGAGCCCAGCAGCGAGGAGUCCACUCCACUCCUGUGUGUUUAGGACAUGUGUCUGUGUAUUUUACAUUAUUCCUGCCUUAAAAAAAUAUACAUCAUUUAUCUAGUAAUGCUAAUGGAUAUGAACCCAUCCGCAUUUGCCCUGCAAAGCCCAUUUUCCCAUCUUAAGAUAAAAUCAUUACCCAUCUGCAUACGUGACAUCAUUUCAUAAUAGGAGUCAUUUAGAGAUCCUGUCUCCUGGAUGCAGCACCGUGAUUAUUCAUGCGAAAUUCAGGGGCAUGCUUUGCUCCAGGAAGGAAAGUCGCUAUUUCCAUAAAUAUUGAGUUAUUAGGGAGCCGCACGGGUGGCUGUUGAGAUCCCAAGUUGCAAACCUGGUAAAAGAACCUUGCAAAUUGUGGGCUGAAGCAGACAGCGUUGAGCAGAGACCCUCAUUCCUGGGUGCUUCGUUCAAUCGCCUUGUCCAUCUUCUCCACUUCUGGUCUUUAGUGAUGGGAGGAAAAAACGGCGAGCGUUGACUUCGCCGUUGUUUCUGUUGGUGUUUCUGCAGCUGGGUAGUGCUCCUGGAGCGGGGUUUGGAGCCAGGAUCAGGCCUGUGUCUAGCCCUAGCUUUGCAGUGACUUUGGGCACGUCGCUGGCCCAGAUCCCAUCCUCGCAGCCCUUUAGGGCUGUGCAGGGGCAGGCGCCGGUGCCCUGCGGGACACGAAGCCUCGUGCCCAAGGCCAGCACCCAGAGGGAGCGCGGGGGCUCGUGCAGCGGGGCCGGGGCUUCCCAGGGAGAUGGGUGCCGGGUUAGGGGCACUGUGCAGCCGCGCUCCAUCCCUUCCCCUUCCCUUGCCACUGGAGCCUUGCAUAAGCCUGGAAGCGGAAUCCAGCCCAGGAGGGAGGAUCCAGCCCGGGAAGCAGGAUCCAGCCCGGAGCUGCCGGCUGCAUUAGUAAUGCGAGCUGCAGGCAGGGGAUGAUUCAGUGGCGGUGGUGGUGGUGCCGUGACGGCCCCGGGGC
rnacentral:lncRNA from 1 species